rfam:Nicotiana attenuata strain TT chromosome 3, whole genome shotgun sequence.
AUGUCAAAGCUUGAUACGCACCUGAAUCGGCAAUUACGUACAGACCAAUAAUAUUUGUACUUAUGCCGAUUUGGGUUCGUAUCAAACUAUGAUAUAC